rnacentral:rRNA from 1 species
GCUCUUUGGGUGACGAGUGGCGGACGGGUGAGUAAUGUCUGGGAAACUGCCCGAUGGAGGGGGAUAACUACUGGAAACGGUAGCUAAUACCGCAUAACGUCGCAAGACCAAAGUGGGGGACCUUCGGGCCUCACACCAUCGGAUGUGCCCAGAUGGGAUUAGCUAGUAGGCGGGGUAAUGGCCCACCUAGGCGACGAUCCCUAGCUGGUCUGAGAGGAUGACCAGCCACACUGGAACUGAGACACGGUCCAGACUCCUACGGGAGGCAGCAGUGGGGAAUAUUGCACAAUGGGCGCAAGCCUGAUGCAGCCAUGCCGCGUGUAUGAAGAAGGCCUUCGGGUUGUAAAGUACUUUCAGCGGGGAGGAAGGCGAUGCGGUUAAUAACCGCGUCGAUUGACGUUACCCGCAGAAGAAGCACCGGCUAACUCCGUGCCAGCAGCCGCGGUAAUACGGAGGGUGCAAGCGUUAAUCGGAAUUACUGGGCGUAAAGCGCACGCAGGCGGUCUGUUAAGUCAGAUGUGAAAUCCCCGGGCUCAACCCGGGAACUGCAUUUGAAACUGGCAGGCUUGAGUCUCGUAGAGGGGGGUAGAAUUCCAGGUGUAGCGGUGAAAUGCGUAGAGAUCUGGAGGAAUACCGGUGGCGAAGGCGGCCCCCUGGACGAAGACUGACGCUCAGGUGCGAAAGC